UAAGAAUAUGGACCUGUUUCUGGGUCCCUCUUUCUUUCCUUUGUAAAAUGAAGGUAUUGAACUAGAUGAUCUGUGAUUCAGCCAAUGCCUCUGCCAAGCGAUUUGAUGCACCAUGGAAGCAGAUGCUGUGAUCAGGACUGGUUAGAGCUAUUUUCUUCUGAUGUCAGUCAGCAAGAAAUGACUCCGUAAUAGAUUAAAAUAAAACACUUAUUUUGCACCAGAGAGAAGGAAAGAGAGAGAAGCACAUGACUCAAGGAGAAUGUUUACAUGUGUUCCUCCCAAAGGCUUUAUCUUGACAUAGUGUUCUCAUCUGCAACUUUUUAAAAAUGAAAAUAUGUGAGCAACAGAGAAAAGAUAUUCUACCCAGCUAGUCUUUAGCCAAGUAACUAAGGUUCUUAGAAACAAGCUUAAAAUACCAGACAGAUUGCACAAACAUCUUAAAAAAUAUGUAUCAAUUUAAUGCUUUUGUAGUAGUCCUCCCUUAUCCAUGGUUUUGCUUUCUGCAGUC
rnacentral:lncRNA from 1 species